AUGCGAUAAGUAAUGUGAAUUGCAGAAUUCAGUGAAUCAUCGAAUCUUUGAACGCACAUUGCGCCCGCCAGUAUUCUGGCGGGCAUGCCUGUUCGAGCGUCAUUUCAACCAUCAAGCCCCCGGGCUUGUGUUGGGGACCUGCGGCUGCCGCAGGCCCCGAAAACCAGUGGCGGGCUCGCUGUCACCCCGAGCGUAGUAGUUUACACCUCGCCCAGGGCGUGCCGCGGGUUCCCGGCCGUUAAACCCCCCCAUCUCAAGGUUGACCUCGGAUCAGGUAGGAAGACCCGCUGAACUUAA
rnacentral:misc_RNA from 1 species